rnacentral:rRNA from 1 species
CCUACGGGUGGCAGCAGUGAGGAAUAUUGGUCAAUGGACGAGAGUCUGAACCAGCCAAGUAGCGUGAAGGAUGACUGCCCUAUGGGUUGUAAACUUCUUUUAUAUGGGACUAAAAUGUUCCACGUGUGGGAUUUUGUAUGUACCAUAUGAAUAAGGAUCGGCUAACUCCGUGCCAGCAGCCGCGGUAAUACGGAGGAUCCGAGCGUUAUGCUGAUUUAGUGGGUUUAAAGGGUGCGUAGGGGGAUUUUUAAGUCAGUUGUGAAAGUUUGCGGCUCAACCGUAAAAUUGCAGUUGAAACUGGCAGUAUUGAGUACAGUAGAGGUGGGCGGAAUGCGGGGUGUAGCGGUGAAAGGCUUAGAU